rfam:Aedes aegypti strain Liverpool supercont1.468 genomic scaffold, whole genome shotgun sequence.
GGCUCGGUAGCUUAGUUGGUAAAGCACUUGUCCAGCUUAAUAGAGUGGUGGGAUCAAAUCCCACCUGAGCAC